AUGAGCGGGGGCACUCCUUAUCCAUAGCAAGAUCAGCUUCAUCUCGAAGGAGGAGAUCCGCUGUGAGGGCAUCCUCUACACUAUCGACACCAAGAACUUCACCGUAGCCCUCGCCAAUGUUCGAUCCUUUGGUACAGAAGCCAGACCAACAGAUCGUCCAAUACCACCUCGAGAUGAAGUCUUUGAAUACAUCACAUUCCGUGGGAGUGAUAUUAAAGACCUCACUGUCUGUGAGCCACCCAAACCACAAUGUUCUUUGCCUCAGGACCCAGCCAUUGUUCAGUCCUCACUAGGGUCCUCAUCAUCUUCAUUCCAGUCAGUGAGUUCCUAUAGACCGUUUGGCAGGAUACCAACAUACAGUUAGUUCAGCCCAAGUACAUAGGUUGGGCAGCAGUUUGGUGCAGUUGGUGUUGCUGGAAACUCCUUGACAUCUUUUGGAACAGAAACAUCAAACAGCGGUACCUUGUCCCAAAGUAGUUGGUUCUACUUUUACACAAGAUACAAGAUCUAUUAAAACCCAGUUAUCUCAAGGUCGUUCAAGCCCUCAGUUAGACCCUUUGAGAAAAAGUCCAACCAUGGAACAAGCAGUACAGACCGCCUCGACCCACUUACCUACUGUUGGGAGAAGGAGCCCUGUAUCAACCAGGCCUUUGCCAUCUACCAGCCAAAAAGCAAUAGAGAAUCAAGAGCACAGGCGAGCUAAAGUACACAAAGUGUCAAGGCCAGAAAAUGAGCAACUCAAAAAUGACAGCAAGAGACAAGUAGUUCCAAGUGCUCCUUCAGCUCCAAGAAGAGGGCGUGGGGGUCACCAGGGUAGCAGGGGAAGAUUUGGCAUUCGACAAGACAGUCCGAUGAAAUUUGAGAAAGACUUUGACUUUGAAAGUGCAAAUGCACAAUUUAACAAGGAGGAGAUUGACAGAGAGUUUCAUAAUAAACUGAAAUUAAAAGAAGAUAAACUUGAGAAACAAGAGAAACCUGUAAAUGGGGAAGAUAAAGGAGACUCAGGAGUGGAUACCCAAAACAGUGAAGGAAAUGCUGGUGAAGAAGACCCGCUUAGACCUAACUGCUAUUAUGACAAAACUAAAUCCUUCUUUGAUAAUAUUUCUUGUGAUGAUAAUAGAGAAAGGAGACCAACCUGGGCUGAAGACAGGAGAUUAAAUGCUGAGACAUUUGGAAUCCGACUUCGUCCAAACCGUGGCCGUGGGGGCUACAGAGGCAGAGGAGGUAUUGGUUUUCGUGGUGGCAGAGGACAUGGUGGAUGCAGAGGAGGAACUUUUACUGCCCCUCGAGGAUUUCGUGGUGGAUUCAGAGGGAGAGGGGGCAGAGAGUUUGCAGAUUUUGAUUAUAGGAAAGACAACAAAGUUGCUGCAGAGUCUGAAAACAAGUCUUUGAAAAUCGGUGCAUUUCUAGCUCUUCAUGGUCCUGAAAAUUGGUUUCUGUCUUUGUGGAGAAUGAAGAAGUGAAUUUGCUGUAAAUUUGCCACCAG